rnacentral:piRNA from 1 species
UAUUCAUACUGCGUGGCGUUUCCUACCCUC